rnacentral:lncRNA from 1 species
GUAAUACUCGUAAGAUUUAUCAACACAAGCAAAAAAGAUGGCCCAAAAGCUAGAAGCAAAGGGUGGUGAGAUGGGAGAUGUAUGGGAUGAUGGUGUUUACGAAAAUGUUAGAAAGGUAUAUGUAGGGCAAGCACAAUACGGUAUAGCCUUCGUCAAGUUUGAGUAUGUCAAUGGUUCUCAAGUGGUUGUUGGAGAUGAACAUGGAAAGAAGACAGAGCUAGGAGUUGAAGAGGUACUAAAAUAGAUUUUUUUUUUUUUUUUUUUUUUUUUUUUUUUUUAGUCAAAAGGUACUAAAAUAGAUUUAUAUGUUGUGAUUGAUCAAGAGGUAGGGUCUUUUUUUUUUUUGUUGCUUUCCGCAUUGAAAAUUGCUUGGUUUCUUUGCAGUUUGAGAUUGAUGCGGAUGACUACAUCGUAUACGUGGAAGGUUACCGUGAGAAAGUUAACGAUAUGACGUCAGAAAUGAUCACGUUUCUUUCUAUUAAGACUUUUAAAGGCAAAACCUCUCAUCCUAUCGAAAAAAGACCUGGGGUUAAGUUUGUGCUACAUGGUGGAAAAAUCGUUGGGUUUCACGGACGUUCAACAGAUGUUUUACACUCCCUUGGGGCCUAUGUUUCUUUGUCAUCCACUAUCAAAUUGCUUGGGAAGUGGAUUAAGGUAAUAAUCUCUUAGACCAAUCCAAAAACAAAAAUAAAAAAUUAUCUCACAUAAAUAUGUUGUUAUUGUUACCACCGCAAAAUCACUAAAUCACUUACGAGAAAGAAAAAAUGAAGAAGAAAAGAGGGUUGAAUUUGGAAUUCAGAUAAUGACACUUUUAAAAUUUAUAAUUUUAUUAAAUUUAUCUUAUGGGAGUUCAUUAAUCAGAUAAAUAAUUUCUUUAAAAAUAACUAAAAAAUAUUACUCAUAGGUGGAGCAAAAAGGAGAAGGUCCAGGGCUAAGAUGCUCACAUGGCAUAGCACAAGUAGGCAACAAGAUUUACUCCUUUGGUGGCGAGUUCACACCAAAUCAGCCCAUCGACAAACACCUUUACGUCUUUGACCUCGAGACCCGGACUUGGUCCAUUUCUCCAGCCACCGGAGACGUUCCACACCUCUCUUGUUUAGGUGUCCGGAUGGUGUCAGUAGGAUCGACCCUCUAUGUCUUUGGAGGCCGAGACGCUUCACGCCAAUACAACGGUUUCUACUCGUUUGACACGACCACUAACGAGUGGAAACUGCUAACUCCGGUCGAAGAAGGACCCACUCCUCGUAGUUUCCACUCAAUGGCAGCCGAUGAGGAAAACGUUUACGUUUUCGGUGGAGUGAGUGCUACGGCACGACUCAAUACACUAGACUCUUACAACAUCGUUGAUAAGAAGUGGUUUCAUUGUUCGACUCCAGGAGAUUCCCUUACCGCAAGAGGAGGAGCAGGGCUCGAAGUGGUGCAAGGGAAGGUAUGGGUUGUGUAUGGGUUUAACGGAUGUGAAGUAGAUGAUGUUCAUUACUACGAUCCUGUUCAAGACAAGUGGACACAAGUGGAAACAUUCGGUGUGAGGCCUUCCGAAAGAAGUGUAUUCGCUAGUGCGGCUAUUGGGAAACACAUUGUGAUUUUUGGAGGUGAAAUUGCGAUGGACCCGCUAGCUCACGUGGGUCCAGGUCAAUUGACCGAUGGAACUUUUGCAUUGGACACAGAGACGUUGCAAUGGGAGAGGCUGGAUAAGUUUGGUGGAGAGGAAGAGACUCCGAGUAGCAGAGGAUGGACCGCGUCCACGACUGCUACCAUUGAUGGUAAGAAAGGACUUGUGAUGCAUGGUGGUAAAGCUCCAACCAAUGACCGGUUUGAUGAUCUCUUCUUUUACGGGAUUGACUCUGCCUAAUUAAGGCAGAUUUGGUGAUCAUGAACGUUUGUGAAUGUGUGUGUGUGUGUGUGGGUCUGUGUUUGUGUGUGUAAUAAGGGAGGGGUAUACCACCAUAUGAUCCUUCCCCAGCUUGACCAUUGUUUUUUUUUUAAUAUGUUUUUCUUUCUACAUGUUUGUUUCACGUUUCAUGUUGUAUCCAAUAAAUUGUGUACUUUCCUAGUAGUAAUCGCCAGAAAAAAAAAAAAAAAAAAAAAACCUAGUAGGUAGAGUCAUAGCUUACAAUUAAAUAAAUAACGAUGGAUGUGUUGAAAACGCGUUUAUGCAUGAUUCAUGAAUUGUAUAUACGAGAGCAGCCGAGGAGGAGAUAAAGAGAGGGGUCUACAAUGAUCAAUACUAACUUAAUUUUGUAGUGUUGUCAGUCAAUAAUGUAUACCUAUCAAAAUGGGGCCUAUAUUCCAUCACUAGUGAGUUCGUCAGUCAAUAAUGUAUUUUCCGACACUUAAAAAACGUUCCAAAUCAUAAUACUUAUAAUUAUAACCAGAUAAGUUUUACUGAAUCCCAGACUAAUUCUCAAACUUUGCUAUCAUGUUAUUAACAAACAUUACAAUGUAGAGAAAUAUGGAUGCCCUAGUUUCAACUAACACGAUGAAUCAUGUCAAUCACUGUAUAAAUAGUUAAUAAGUUGUGACUUUUUUUUUUGUCGGCUAAUAAGUUGUGACUUUAGGCACCGUCAAUAUUCAACUGUAAUUAUAAUCGUAUAUAAUAAGUGAUUAUAUCUGUCAAAUAUCAUAUAUAACAAAUAAUAUAAUUGUAUGUAUAUAUAUUAUCUCUAUCAACUAUAAUCAUAUACAGAAAGAAAAAAAACAAGUGUUACAUCACGCUUAGCUUAAAAGUUUCGACUUUUUGCACCGUCAUAUUUCACGUGUAAGCAAGAAAUACAAAUGUAAAUAGAUUAUAAUUAAUGAAUUCUCUCGACUCUCUCAACAUAGUAUAUAAAAGGAAAUCUACACAUGAACCGUAUCUUUCUCACUUUUGAAAUAUUUUGAUGUUUUAAAGAAAUUUUUUCAAAAUUUUAUAUAAAUUAUAAAUUAAUUUAAUAUUUUUUGAUUAUUUAUAUUUUUCAUCAGUCUUGUUCAUAAUUGGUUGAAUUGUUUUAAAGUAAAUAUUUCUUUAGCUAAAACAUCUUAUACAAUUAAAAGAAAAAAGUGUAAUCAAAUAACCAAAUAUAAAUUAGUAUUUCAAAUUAUACUUAUUGCAGGGUGAUAAACCUUUUGUCCCAAGUGAAGUUAAACCUAUAAAUAUAUACCCCAUUUAGAGGGUCCUAUAUAACUAAAGUACCACAUAUUUGGUGGUUUAUAUCAUUCAAUUUUUUUGUAACUAACUUAAUAUUUGAUAUGUAAAAUCAUGUUAAAAUAGGAUCAGCAGAUAGAAUAUAUAAAAAAUAAGUCAUGUACAAACGUAACGUUCUUCAUAUCUUAGGUAACGUAUCUAACAAUUUUGUUAAAUAUUAUUAUUUUAAAAAAUUGAACAUAUUAUUUGGAAACUUUUCUUUUGAUAAUUUUGAAAUGGCACUUUGUAAUUAAGAGUUUAAUAAAGAACACGUCACACACAAAAACGAAGAAAGAGAUUAUAGAAAUUAAGUUGUGUUUUCAAUCUUCGUGUAUACAAAACAAAAAUAAAAAUUAGAAAUGAUAUUUCAUACGAUGUUGUUAAAUAAUAUAAUUAUGAAAAUUAGUUGUGCUUUAUAUUAUUAUUUUUGUUGGAAGCUCUAGAAACGAUCGACCUAAUAGUAUAUUUUUGUCACUAAAAAGUGUGAUUAAAAUAUAUAUAUAUAUAUAUAUAUAUAUAUAUAUAUAUAUAAUAUUGUAAUUUUCAACCAAUUCUCGGUUUAGGUGGUUUAUUAUUAUAUUGUUUUUUGAAAAAAUUAAAAAAUAUAUCCUUAUUAGUUCAUUCUUUUCUGGUCAUUCGUUCACACUUUACAACUUGGUUAAUGGCCACUUCUCAAGUUAUCGUUCUUUCAUUUGUUCUACAGUCGCAAGAAAUUAUCGUUCUUUCAUUUGUCAUUAUGCAUAAUGAUUUCUCUUUUCUUUUUAGUGCAUAAUGAUCUCACUACAUAAAAAAAUCUAUCUUACGAUUCAACUAUAUUUAGUCCCAUGCACUCGCUGCAUAACACAUUACUUUCUUCGAUUUAGAGUGAUUUUCACAACCUUGUUUCUGUAUUGUAUAUUUAGUUAGUGUUUGUGAUUACCAAAAAAAAAAAUUGUUUCUUCUUGGCUUAGUCUUUUUAUCUUUUUUUUUUUUUUUGCUUCAUCUAUUUUUCCUCCCAUGACAGAUGAAGACGGCAAGAGAUGCAGCAAAUCUCAUUUAUGAUCUAUCUGAAGAAUCAGCGUCAUCGAUUUGGAGACUCGAACCAUAACAAAAAGAGCAUCACAGUUUCAAUUUAAUUGCUCCUGGCGCUUCCUAUUUCAGCAACAAACAUUAAAUAAUUAAUCCAAUAGAGAUGAUAUAUAUGGAAAUUUCAAAACCAAAAAAAGAAACUUUCAAAACCAAAAUUGCGAAGCCAUAGAAAUCGUGGAUCAUGGAAUUGCGAAGACCAAUGUUGACAUAUGGGAAUUUGGUGUCCCAAUGAGCAGAGAUCACUAAGAUUGGUUUUCGGGAGGAACUUUUUGAGUUCAUGAUUUGAAGAAUUGUCUCGCCUAUAAGCUAUCGUCCAUAGUUUGAGAUUCAUGCGACAAGAAGAAGGUUUGAUUCACUUUCUCCAUUUAAUUGAAUCAUCUUCAUAGAUAUAUUUUCAUACUUAAUCAAUGUUUUUACCAAAAAAAUAAUGUUAUUUUAUUAUUUUGGUUUUAUGUGGUUUGGGAUUGGUGUAGAUUAUAAACCGAUUAAACCAAUGUUUUUGUGUUCUGAGAUUUCAAACUUUUGAACUAAAUAAAUAUACGUUUUGGGGAAUAUCCAAUAUCAAUAUGUAUCAUAGUUUGGACUCUAUCUAUUCCAGUAUGAUAAUUCCCGUGGAAAAAUAUAUCAUCGUCUCUAUUUUAUACAUGCACUUGCAACACAAACCAGCCAUAAAGUGGGUCUAUUCUUAUAAUUUAUGACAACAUGGAACACUAUCAUUGGGCCACGAUGCAAGGAGCGAAGGACGAUGCGAGAAGGUGCUUUACUGAUUUGAUGAACGUGGAGGUGAUUCUGAAUGAUACGAGAUCUCUAAGCUGAAUAUAUAAUAGUAUAGUUUUUCGUAAUUUUUUUUUGUUAAAUUUUUUAUCGCUGCUAAAGAUUAAAUGGCGAGUAAAACUAUACUAUUAUACUUUCAAAGAUCACCCGAGAAAAUGAUGACUGCACAUACUUUCAAUAUCCCAUAGAUGACAUAUCUGUUUUAUUUCCAUCAAGCUAUUCAUCGAAACAAAAGCACAUGACGAUUAUGGGAGAGAAACACUACUCUAAAAUCCCGUAAUAAGCUGCACCACCUAAUUUUUUGUGCCUUGACCAAAAAAAAUUCAAUGUUGCAGUUCAACGAACCUUCUUACGGAGGAUCUUUAAACAAAAUUUAUUUGGUACAUAGAGAAAAAUAUUUUAAUAUAUACUAAUUUAAUGCCUCGCGAUCAACGAGUAGAGAAAAAAUAUGUCGCGUGUAUCUUCUUCCAUUGGUCAAUAAAUACCAAUGCAAUGUUUACUACACAAAUCAUUACUUCAGUCUCACUCUCAGGUCAGCUCUCUCCACAUCUCUCUCAUAUGAUUGUACUAUGUAUAAGAUUUGGUAAUAUUUGUAAUUACAAGUAAAAUUCGUAAAUACAGAUAAUAUUCGUAAGAGGUUGAUCAAACGAAAGCAAAAGAGAUGGCCCAAAAGGUUGAAGCACAAGGAGGAAAUGGCGGUAACCAAUGGGAUGAUGGAUCCGAAUACGACGCUGUGACCAAGAUUCAAGUCGCAGCAGGCGGGAACGGAAUUGAAUAUGUUAAGUUCACAUACGUCAAGAACGGACAAACCGAAGAAGCCCCUCUACGCGGUGUCAAGGGCCGUAGUUUCGAAGCAGAUCCGGUUCCUAUACACUAUCCUUGCCUAUCUCUUCAUUUUUAUCUAUAAGGACAUUGACGUGAAUUAAUAUAUAUAUAUAUAUAGGUUAUAUAUUGUCAAGGGUUUGUUUUGAUAAUGUUCUUUUUAAGAAAUUGACAUUUUGAUCUUGAUCUCUACAGUUUGUGAUAAACCAUCCGGAGGAGCACUUAGUUUCUGUAGAAGGUCGGUAUAACCCUGAAGGACUUAUUCUAGGGCUAACGUUCAAAUCCAACAAGAAGACUUCUGAUCUCAUUGGAUAUGAAGAUGGUACACCGUUCACUCUCCAAGUUCAAGACAAGAAGAUCGUUGGAUUUUAUGGCUUCGCUGGAAACAAUCUCCAUUCUCUUGGAGCGUACUUUGCUCCGUUGACUAAUGUAACCCCCUUGAAUGCCAAAAAGCUAGAAGCAAAGGGUGGUGACACGGGAGAUAUAUGGGAUGAUGGUGUUUACGAUAAUGUUAGAAAGGUAUAUGUAGGGCAAGCCCAAUAUGGUAUAGCCUUCGUCAAGUUUGAGUAUGUCAAUGGUUCUCAAGUGGUUGUUGGAGAUGAACAUGGAAAGAAGACAGAGCUAGGAGUUGAAGAG